CACGGGGCGCAGCAGGCGCGAAACCUCCGCAAUGCACGCAAGUGCGACGGGGGAACCCCAAGUGCCACUCUUAACGGGGUGGCUUUCUGAAGUGUAAAAAGCUCUGAUAAGCCUUACCUUCCCGG
rnacentral:rRNA from 1 species